rnacentral:rRNA from 1 species
UAGGGAAUAUUGGACAAUGGGGGCAACCCUGAUCCAGCCAUGCCGCGUGAGUGAAGAAGGCCCUCGGGUUGUAAAGCUCUUUUGUCCGGAAAGAAAAGCUUCGGGUUAAUACCCCGGGGUUCUGACGGUACCGGAAGAAUAAGCACCGGCUAACUUCGUGCCAGCAGCCGCGGUAAUACGAAGGGUGCAAGCGUUACUCGGAAUUACUGGGCGUAAAGCGUGCGUAGGUGGUUGUUUAAGUCUGAUGUGAAAGCCCUGGGCUCAACCUGGGAAUGGCAUUGGAAACUGGGCAGCUAGAGUGCGGUAGAGGGUAGUGGAAUUCCCGGUGUAGCAGUGAAGUGCGUAGAGAUCGGGAGGAACAUCUGUGGCGAAGGCGACUGCCUGGACCAGCACUGACACUGAGGCACGAAAGCGUGGGGAGCAAACA